AGAAUUUAUUACUUGGAAAAGGAAACUGUAUCCUUAUGUAUGUCGUUUAUAACACAGAAAUGAGGCCUGUAAUGUAGGCUGAAUUAACUUGAAUGAAAUGGAUAAGUAUGGCAGACCCCUGAAAGUGUGGGAGUCAAAAUGAUCCAUACAGAUAUGUGAGCUGGUUUUGUAUGGACAUUAAUACAAUACUGAUAUCUUUAAACAGUAAUGGAAAUAAUCUGUCUAUUUAACCAAGCAAUUCGUUACCCGAAUGGUAUAUACAUGAAAUGAUGAAUGUAAUCCACGAAAGGAUUUAUGCGUAAUACAUAGAAAUAAAACCGAAACCCAAUGUGAAGGGAAACAGUAG